rnacentral:tRNA from 1 species
GGAGGGUUGCCCGAGCGGUCAAAGGGAGCAGACUGUAAAUCUGCCGGCGUAUGCCUACAGUGGUUCAAGUCCACUACCCUCCACCA